CCCCCGAAUACCGGGGGCAUGGCUUCAAGACUCAUAUUCACUAAUUGCAAUUCACAUUACUAUCGAUUUCGCGCUUCUUCAUCAUGCGGAACCAAGAAUCUGUUUAAAGUUUUAAAUAAUUUAUAUUUUCACUCAGACUUCAAUCUUCAGACAGAUUCGAGUUCUUCGGGGGCGCCCGGGCGUAAGCCCCCCCGCGCCAGUUAAGCGGCCCGCCGAAGCAACAAGGUAAAAUAAACACGGUGGAGGUUGACCCAGAGGCCCUCACUCUGUAAUGAUCCUAACUUGCGGAAGGAUCAUUACCGAGUGAGGGCCCUCUGGGUCCAACCUCCCACCCGUGUUUAUUUUACCUUGUUGCUUCGGCGGGCCCGCCUUAACUGGCCGCCGGGGGGCUUACGCCCCCGGGCCCGCGCCCGCCGAAGACACCCUCGAACUCUGUCUGAAGAUUGAAGUCUGAGGAAAAUAUAAAUUAUUUAAAACUUUCAACAACGGAUCUCUUGGUUCCGGCAUCGAUGAAGAACGCAGCGAAAUGCGAUACGUAAUGUGAAUUGCAAAUUCAGUGAAUCAUCGAGUCUUUGAACGCACAUUGCGCCCCCUGGUAUUCCGGGGGGCAUGCCUGUCCGAGCGUCAUUGCUGCCCUCAAGCCCGGCUUGUGUGUUGGGCCCCGUCCCCCGAUCUCCGGGGGACGGGCCCGAAAGGCAGCGGCGGCACCGCGUCCGGUCCUCGAGCGUAUGGGGCUUUGUCACCCGCUCUGUAGGCCCGGCCGGCGCUUGCCGAUCAACCCAA
rnacentral:rRNA from 1 species